UCUUGGCAAGUAAGGGGGCAGGCAUUUCAGAAAAAAACCCCACAGCAGGGAACAUCCUUCAUAUAGACUCUGCCCCUCCUUUUUAUACUUUUCAUCCCCCUCUAGAUAAACAUUUUCCACUCGGACCCAGGGUACACACACCCCAAGCCAACCCUUUCUUUCUCCCUGUCAAUCUCAUUCUCUGCACCUGGAAAGACAAAAGAAGCAGCCAUUGAACUCUGGAGGAGGGGUCCUGACUUGAGAGUGUGGUCAGCAAUCUGCUGAAGCCUUUGGCUUUACACUGCAACAUAAAAAGCGUACUAGCAGAUAACUGCACUGGAUCAUCCGAAAUAACAAAAGGCUUGAGCUAUUUGCAUAUAAGGAAUCAGCACAAUCAUUUGGCCAACAAAAGACUAGCUGGUCAACAGCACUGGGGGUAGCUCUGUGAUUGCUUUUCACUCAGCUGAAAACUCUGAGAUACUCUGUCAGAGCUGGAGGCCAAGAACAUGAGGAAUUCCCAAUCAUGAAAUAAGAAAAGAACCUUGGAGAAUACCUUGAAGAAAGAGGACAGGCCAAAGAGAAGCAUUUCAGUGCCUAAAGUGAUCCUGACCAAUUGUAAAGCGGGGAAAUGUCUUGUGAGAGGUAUCUAUAUUCUGAGAAAUGUUAGGGUGACCUUCAAACCUUUUAGGGUAUGUAAGAAUUUGCCUGUGGAUUCAAAUGGGAAGUCUUCCAUAGUAUUUUGGACUUUCAUACAAAAGCCAUGCAGAGACAGACGAGAUGCUUGGUAUAUGAUGGUAGUGGUGAUUGACUGAGCCAAAGACUUGGGUACACUUAGGAAGGCUUUUUAUGAGGUCCUCUCUAAGAGCUGACCUUCAUUUAUAAUUGCCUUUAACUGUUCCUGGUAUUUGUCAGGAAGGUGUUCAAUAAAGGUGUUGAAUUUACCAUCAUUGGUGUAGUUGUAUUAUGUCAGCAGAGCCUGGUAAUUUAUGAUCCUCAAUUGCAGAGCUGCAAAAGUGUAACUUUUA